GUUGGGUUAAGUCCCGCAACGAGCGCAACCCAUAUUGAUAGUUACCAUCAUUAAGUUGGGUACGCUAUUAAGACUGCCGCUGACAAGGCGGAGGAAGGUGGGGACGACGUCAAGUCAUCAUGGCCCUUACGACCCGGGCUACACACGUGCUACAAUGGGUAUUACAGAGGGCUGCGAAGGUGCGAGCGGGAGCGAAACUCAAAAAGGUACUAUUUGUCCGGAUUGCCGU
rnacentral:rRNA from 1 species